rnacentral:rRNA from 1 species
UGGGGAAUAUUGCACAAUGGGCGCAAGCCUGAUGCAGCCAUGCCGCGUGUGUGAAGAAGGCCUUCGGGUUGUAAAGCACUUUCAGCGGGGAGGAAGGCGAUAAGGUUAAUAACCUUGUCGAUUGACGAUACCCGCAGAAGAAGCACCGGCUAACUCCGUGCCAGCAGCCGCGGUAAUACGGAGGGUGCAAGCGUUAAUCGGAAUUACUGGGCGUAAAGCGCACGCAGGCGGUCUGUCAAGUCGGAUGUGAAAUCCCCGGGCUUAACCUGGGAACUGCAUUCGAAACUGGCAGGCUAGAGUCUUGUAGAGGGGGGUAGAAUUCCAGGUGUAGCGGUGAAAUGUGUAGAGAUCUGGAGGAAUACCAGUGGCGAAGGCGGCCCCCUGGACAAUGACUGACGCUCAGGUGCGAAAGCGUGGGGAGCAAACAGG